GUAGAAGGCGCCCGCGAGAUCAUUUUGGCCUAUGUCGAACAUGUAAAGCGCCUUCCCAAAGUAAUCCUGAGCCGGCAGGUAUUUGUCGUAUUUCCUGGCUGUUGUACAGUAAGCGAGGAGGUGAUUGGUAUGAAGGAAUUGAAUUAGGUACGAACCGGAUUAUUAUUACUAUUAUGUUCAUUGCAAGAUUUUGAAUACAUUUAGUGAGGAUAUCCACCGCUUUUGCCUUGAACCUCAGAAACUGAGCUACUUGGAUCCUGAACGAAAACGGGCAAACCGAGGAAGCCGUGGCCGGAAGAGUGGUGGCGCCUGCAGCUGCAAAGUUGCACCCUCUUUUGAAAAUUGGCGCUGCAAUUGACUCCAAAUAUGGAUUCAACAAGGGCA
rnacentral:lncRNA from 1 species